UGCGGAAGGAUCAUUACUGAGUGAGGGCCCUCUGGGUCCAACCUCCCACCCGUGUUUAUUGUACCUUGUUGCUUCGGUGCGCCCGCCUCACGGCCGCCGGGGGGCUUCUGCCCCCGGGUCCGCGCGCACCGGAGACACUAUUGAACUCUGUCUGAAGAUUGCAGUCUGAGCAUAAACUAAAUAAGUUAAAACUUUCAACAACGGAUCUCUUGGUUCCGGCAUCGAUGAAGAACGCAGCGAAAUGCGAUAACUAAUGUGAAUUGCAGAAUUCAGUGAAUCAUCGAGUCUUUGAACGCACAUUGCGCCCCCUGGUAUUCCGGGGGGCAUGCCUGUCCGAGCGUCAUUGCUGCCCUCAAGCACGGCUUGUGUGUUGGGCUCCGUCCCCCCGGGGACGGGUCCGAAAGGCAGCGGCGGCACCGAGUCCGGUCCUCGAGCGUAUGGGGCUUUGUCACCCGCUCUGUAGGCCCGGCCGGCGCCAGCCGACAACCAAUCAUCCUUUUUUCAGGUUGACCUCGGAUCAGGUAGGGAUACCCGCUGAACUUAAGCAU
rnacentral:rRNA from 1 species